rnacentral:misc_RNA from 1 species
UCCGGUUUGUCACCGGCAGUCACUCUAGAGUGCCCACCCUUACGUGCUGGCAACUAAAGUCAAGGGUUGCGCUCGUUGCGGGACUUAACCCAACAUCUCACGACACGAGCUGACGACAACCAUGCACCACCUGUCUCCUCUGCCCCGAAGGGAAGGUCUAUCUCUAGACCGGUCAGAGGGAUGUCAAGACCUGGUAAGGUUCUUCGCGUUGCUUCGAAUUAAACCACAUACUCCACUGCUUGUGCGGGUCCCCGUCAAUUCCUUUGAGUUUCAGCCUUGCGGCCGUACUCCCCAGGCGGAGUGCUUAAUGCGUGAACUUCGGCACCCAGGGUAUCGAAACCCCGAACACCUAGCACUCAUCGUUUACGGCGUGGACUAC